UUUCCGUAGGUGAACCUGCGGAAGGAUCAUUAUUGGGUUUUGAAACUUCAGGCUGCUGCUGGCUCUCCUCGGAGGGCAUGUGCACGCUUGUUGUCCGUUAUUUCUCCCACUGUGCACAAAUUGUAGACCUGUCAGCAGGCCUAUGUUGUUUUUCACAAUCUCUGAAUGUAAUAGAAUGGUUUUGAAUCAUUGGAAAUACAAUACAACUUUCAGCAACGGAUCUCUUGGCUCUC
rnacentral:misc_RNA from 1 species